UAUCCACAUCAGCAAGAACAAAAGUUAUUACAAUCUAAUGUAUAUGGAAAUACUAUUUUAAUAUUUAGAUAAAAUAAUUGUCUAAUAAGAACAUGCAGUGGGUAUUAAAAGGAUUUAGAACACCUCAGAAACUUGAAAAUAAUUUUUUCUAGCAUACUUUAGUGUCAUGAGUACUCCUCUGACAUUCUAGGCCUUCUUGUCCCAUUUUUUAAAGAUGUAUUUAUUUAUUUUAGAGCGAGAGCACGCACAUGAGAUAAUGAGCGAGGAGCCUGACAUGACCCAUGAAAUCAUGACUUGAGCCACAACCAAGAGUUGGCGGCUUAACUGACUGAGCCACCCAGGAGCCCCUUCCUGCUCAUUUUUAAUCAGAAGUGAGAAUAUAGCUGAUUUUGUUCUUUUCUCUAAUUUGUUCCCUUCUCUUGAUUACCAGAUAAAAUUUAGAUUUUCUAUAACCGGAAAUGAAAAUCCAUUGUUUGCAAACUUUAAUUUCAGACUUGACUCCAGCAAAGCACUUAAAGAGAUUCUUUUUAAAAGGUGCUGACAUUGAAUCAGAAGGUGAUCUCAUCUCGGUAGAGGCAGCAGAAUUAGACCCAUUAACUUCAAUUGAAAUUGAACAGCCACCCUGGGAAAGCUUGUCUCAGUGAAAAUGAGUCUAGUCAAAUUUAAGGCAAGGUUACCAAGGCGUCAGAACCGUCUCAGUCUAAUGGCCUUCCUGUUUAAAUACUUCAGCAGCUAGAAGAACGGAAGCAAUGUUUCUGUGCCUAUCAGCUCUUUCCAUUUCCUGCCAUGUGGAGAUUAGGGCACACCUGGUUCCCCUGCAGAGUACAAGAGACUCCCUUAGCGCUGAUUUAUUUAACUUCCUAAUUUCUACUAAACACAAUCAUCCCAGGAUCAGUGGAAGAAAUAAUUCGAAUCUUACAGAGGCAUGAGACUGAGCUGCAUGCACUGGACUGCUAGGGAGUAGAGCAAACCAUGAAACUGUUCAGAGAAUUUGGCCAAUUUUUGCUGUGGCAUCUUUACCUGGCUUGUUAUGUUCCGUACUUCUCUUAGUAAAAAAUUGUCAUCCCGUGAAGAUGAAACUCCAGAGAAAACAGAAAAGGAUGAAUUUGUGAGAUCAGAUUGGAAUAGAAAGCCUGCAGACCUGAAAAAAUGAUUCAAGGUAAAUGCAAAAGUCAAGGUUAUACUUUAGAAUCAGAUGCUCAGUCUGAAGAAUUAAGGAAAUCAAAGGAAAAUUUGGUUACGAUAAUAAUUACAGUAGUAUCAGUGUUUUGACCAGACAUAUUGCCUGUGAUUUGAAGGAUAUUUCAUGAGAAGAGUAUCAGUCACUCAUAGUAUGGCAGCACCUGACAAAAUAUAUUAUUAUAGCAAUUUUUUAUAUUUAUCUGAAAAAUAAAAAUAUACUCUAAUGAGGUUUAUGUAAUUCUCUGUAUAGCCAGUCACCAGCCACUUAUUUUUUUUUUUUGUGGAAUUUAGCAAUAUCUCUUAAAAUCACAUAUUAAAAAUACAAAUACAGGAAGGGGAUAAUUGAUGGAUUUAUCUCAAAGAUAUUUAUAUUUAGAGGAGGGAGUAAAAGCAAAAGAGCUACUUUAGGAAAUUAUUUAUGACCCAUCUAUUUUUACUUUACCAUGUCUAGCUAUAGAAAACCCCAUUAGAAAUACAAGUUAAAAAAAGAAAAGGUGGCUAGACUGAUCAGAAAAAUGAAUUUGUGUUGAAAUCAAAUGCUUAUUUUUAGAAUACUUUUUAAAUGUCAAUAUUAUCAAAUUAGUUAAUGUACAUUUUCAAAAUAAAGUUGUUCUAUGUGACUAAUAAUAAAAACAGUACCUCUUUUAUUAUCCCUUAUAAGUCCUUAUUUCUGAUACCUGGAGACAAUGGCAUUGACCCUUGAACUCUUCUAUCGACCUCCAAGUUGCUAAAUGCUACGUUUACACUGACAUUUUGUGGUUUUUCCAUGUUAGACCUUAUCCAUGGCCUCUUACUACAGAAGAUGGAAGUUUCCCUCCCUUGUCUCUGUACUCCCUAAAUAUUCUUUUUCCAUCGUUUCCAGAUAUGGUUUUAUCACAUGCAUUUUGGAAAGCUAGUAUUUAUUGUUCAUGUGGCUUCUAAUUGAGCUGUCACAUUGUAUAUUAUGAUUGCAUUUCUUUUGUGUAAUGUGCUUUUCCUUAAGUUAGUAUUUGUCCCCCUCAUGGACUUAGUUGCUGCUGAUAAAUUUCGAAAAUGUCCCAUUAAA